rnacentral:rRNA from 1 species
CUAUAGGCUUAACACAUGCAAGUCGAGGGGCAGCGAAUAGAUAGCUUGCUAUUUAUGUCGGCGACCGGCGCACGGGUGAGUAACGCGUAUCCAACCUGCCCAUAACUAAGGGAUAACCCAGCGAAAGUUGGACUAAUACCUUAUGUAUUCGUUUGAUCUCAUGAGAUUAUGAAUAAAGAUUUAUCGGUUAUGGAUGGGGAUGCGUCUGAUUAGCUUGUUGGCGGGGUAACGGCCCACCAAGGCAACGAUCAGUAGGGGUUCUGAGAGGAAGGUCCCCCACAUUGGAACUGAGACACGGUCCAAACUCCUACGGGAGGCAGCAGUGAGGAAUAUUGGUCAAUGGACGCAAGUCUGAACCAGCCAAGUAGCGUGCAGGAUGACGGCCCUAUGGGUUGUAAACUGCUUUUAUAUGGGGAUAAAGUGGGGAACGUGUUCCCUUUUGCAGGUACCAUAUGAAUAAGGACCGGCUAAUUCCGUGCCAGCAGCCGCGGUAA